UACGAAGGGGGCUAGCGUUGUUCGGAAUUACUGGGCGUAAAGGGCGCGUAGGCGGUGUGUCAAGUCAGGCGUGAAAGCCCCGGGCUCAACCUGGGAACCGCGCUUGAGACUGGCACGCUCGAGUUCGGGAGAGGAUGGUGGAAUUCCCAGUGUAGCGGUGAAAUGCGUAGAUAUUGGGAGGAACACCAGUGGCGAAAGCGACUUUCUGGGGUGUUUCUGACGCUGAGGUUCGAAAGCUCGGGGAGCAAACAGG
rnacentral:rRNA from 1 species